UUCUGCUCAUUGGCUACACAUUUGUUUUGUUAGUCAGACUCAAUUUUCUGAAGCAUUUUCUGAUGCACCCCACCUUUAACUGUUGCACUACCACUUCCAAAUAUUCAGUAGGAAUUGACAGUGGUACACAUCUGUGUUUGAUGUAUAAGGUAAACAUGUACUAGAUAGAGUGUUACACAUAAAAUCCAAAUUUCUGCAAAUGAGGUGGCCACUGCGUAUUACCAUGCUGCAGCCUUGUAUUACUUUAUAGAUCUUAGAUUAUGUUAUGGACUUAAUAAUUAUUUUAUUGCCUUUUAGUCCAGUCUUUUUUUAAUCGCAUUUUGAAUUUUUGUAAAGCUGCUUCUGGUUUUUGGAGCAUCAGUCUGAAGGACAUAUUCUAGAGAUGCAGAUUUGAUCUAGAAAAGCUGUUCUAGCUGGAAUCAGACAAACAAAAGGAUAUAUAUGAAUAUAUUGAAAUACGUUUACAAUAUGGUAACUCAAAUAGCUAAAAUCCGAACAUAAUUGGAAUUUUUAGACUGAAAACUCAGAGCACCUGCUAACUCUGCUAAUUGGCAGAAAUGUAAAUGUAAACAUCUGCAGGCACUGAGUGAGAAUUUCAGAGCUAGAUCUCAUCUAUGGUUUGUGUGAAUAACAUUGUUUUUGUCAAAGUGUUUACUGACUUAAGGAGCUUGGAAGAAGUGACCCUACACCCAGUGUCGCUGUGGAUGCAACAAAGCCUUUGCUUGUAUACAGACUUGAUGAUCAACAGGCUCUCAAUAUAUAAUUGCCAUUGAAUAACGGAUCCUUUCAGGAGGCCUGCAGAACACUGAAGGUGUCUGGGGGAUACAUGAAAAUUCAUUGUCAUUCCAACAUUCCUCCUGCAUCCAUGUAAAGAGCAAAGCAAAUCUGUCCCGUAACGGGGUUGAUGCAGUUUCUGUUAAAGCACAUUAGUGAGAGUAAAAAAGGGGAGAUGAAAUGAGGAAGAAACCUUCAGAGGAAUCAGACAUAGAAGGGAAUGUGGGAAAAUAAUUUUAAGUCAUUGUUUUAUUUCCUUUUAGUUCUAGCAUAUUUCUGUGGAUCAUAUAGAAGCCCAAUCAAUUUACAAGGCUAGAGCUUCUCAUCUCACUAAACUUCUUCAGAUCCUCAAGCUCCAGAAUCUUCAGAUUUUUUUUUUCCGACGCAACUUUGAUUUGUUAUACUUGGCUGGAUAAACAAUGAUUCAUCGCGGCAUGGCUGAUCGGCAGGAACCACGCACACCCGACAGACACCGGCAACAGGUUACUCACCUAUAGCCGUGAUGCACUUUUACUACAUCGGUCCUCGCUGCUGUGUAACAUCAAGCCUGAUGUGCUUCUACCACCGGAGCUUCGGCCGAGGAAAAGAGGAAGACGUGGGGGUAUUCGCAGUAGAAUUAGAAAACGACCAUUCAAACCUCCUCUUCCCUCCAUCAUUCUGUCAAAUGUACACUCACUUCGCAAUAAAAUGGAUCCUUACUUCGACUGGAAAGGGCCUUCAGGGACAUCUGUAUCAUCGCCCUGUCAGAAACAUGGCUAGACCAGUCGGUCUCGGAUGCUGAAGUCAGUCUGGACAAUUUUACUGUAAUUAGGGCAGACAGAACUGAGCAAUCGGGGAAGACCCGCGGCGGUGGGGUGUGCUUGUACAUAAACAACAGGUGGUGUAAUAACAUCAAAGUACAUCACAAGUCAUGUACAGCCGAUUUGGAGAUACUAACUGUGUCCCUUCGUCCAUACUAUCUGCCCCGGGAAUUCCCUGUUGUUGUGGUCAGCUGUGUUUAUGUUGCCCCCAGCGCCAAUAUCAAUAAAGCAGCUGAGCUUAUAGCCGGGGAUGCUAACGACAAGUUAGCUAGGUAUCCCGGUGCACCACUGUUCAUUCUGGGGGACUUUAACAACUGCAAGUUGGACUGUGUGUUGCCGUCAUUCCAGCAGUAUGUUGAUAUUCCCACAAGGCGGGCAAACAUCCUGGAUAUGUGUUAUGGCAAUAUAACCGAUGCAUUUCGUUCCUGCUCUUAUCCACCGCUAGGAGCUGCCGAUCAUAACGUCAUCUUACUUCUCUCGCUGUAUAAACAACAACUGAAGAAACAUAGUCCACAAUGCUACAGUGCCCCACAGUGGUCGGAGGAUGCCAUCGCACGCCUACAUGGUUCCUUGGCAUGCACUGAUUGGAACAUUUUUGACGGGAAUCUGAAUGACAAGGCUUCUGUUAUUACUGAUUAUAUAAACUUUUGUAUCAAGCAAAGCACAUGCAUUCCUGUUAAAACAGUAAGGAAAUAUCCAAACUCUAAGCCAUGGAUUACUUCCCAAAUAAAACAAUGUCUUAAAGAAAAACAUAAAGCAUUUAGAGAGAAGAACUGGGUUAGCUUGAAAUUGGCAAACCGCAAUAUUAAGAAUGCUGUAUUUAAGGCAAAACUGAAAUACAAGGACAGACUGGAAAAAGAUUUUUCCAACAUGAACACAAAACAAGCAUUCCAGACAGUACGGACACUAACAAGAUGUGAACCCAGAACAACUUCUGCUCUAUGUUUAUGCUCUGUAAAGCCGCUUUGAGACAAUGUCUAUUGUAAAAAGCGCUAUACAAAUAAACUUGAAUUGAA